GCUAACUUCGGUGCCAGCAGCCGCGGUAAUAGGGAGGUUCCGAGCUUUAAUGGAAAUUACUGGGCGUAAAGCGCGCGUAGGUGGUUUCGUCAGUCAGAUGUGAAAGCCCAGGGCUCAACCUUGGAACUGCACCUGAUACUGCGGAACUAGAGUACGAUAGAGGGGAGUGGAAUUUCCGGUGUAGCGGUGAAAUGCGUAGAGAUCGGAAGGAACACCAGUGGCGAAGGCGACUCCCUGGAUUGAUACUGACACUGAGGUGCGAAAGCGUGGGGAGCAAACAGGAUUAGAUACCCUGGUAGUCCACGCCGUAAACGAUGUCUACUUGGAGGUUGUGGCCUUGAGCCGUGGCUUUCGGAGCUAACGCGUUAAGUAGACCGCCUGGGGAGUACGGUCGCAAGAUUAAAACUCAAAUGAAUUGACGGGGGCCCGCACAAGCGGUGGAGCAUGUGGUUUAAUUCGAUGCAACGCGAAGAACCUUACCUACUCUUGACAUCCAGAGAACUUAGCAGAGAUGCUUUGGUGCCUUCGGGAACUCUGAGACAGGUGCUGCAUGGCUGUCGUCAGCUCGUGUUGUGAAAUGUUGGGUUAAGUCCCGCAACGAGCGCAACCCUUAUCCUUGUUUGCCAGCGAGUAAUGUCGGGAACUCCAGGGAGACUGCCGGUGAUAAACCGGAGGAAGGUGGGGACGACGUCAAGUCAUCAUGGCCCUUACGAGUAGGGCUACACACGUGCUACAAUGGCGCAUACAGAGGGCUGCCAACUCGCGAGAGUGAGCGAAUCCCAAAAAGUGCGUCGUAGUCCGGAUUGGAGUCUGCAACUCGACUCCAUGAAGUCGGAAUCGCUAGUAAUCGUAGAUCAGAAUGCUACGGUGAAUACGUUCCCGGGCCUUGUACACACCGCCCGUCACACCAUGGGAGUGGGCUGCAAAAGAAGUGGGUAGUUUAACCUUCGGGAGGACGCUCACCACUUUGUGGUUCAUGACUGGGGUGAAGUCGUAACAAGGUAGCCGUAAUCG
rnacentral:rRNA from 1 species